GACCAGGUAGCUCAGUUGGUAGAGCAUCCAGCUAGUGUCUGGAGGUCCUGGGUUCGAACCCCGGUCUGGUCG